rnacentral:rRNA from 1 species
UACGGAGGAUGCGAGCGUUAUCCGGAUUUAUUGGGUUUAAAGGGUGCGCAGGUUGUUUGAUAAGUCAGUGGUGAAAGUCUGUCGCUUAACGGUAGGAUUGCCAUUGAUACUGUUGGACUUGAAUAUGGAUGAGGUAGGCGGAAUGUGUAGUGUAGCGGUGAAAUGCAUAGAUAUUACACAGAACACCGAUUGCGAAGGCAGCUUACUAAUCCAUCAUUGACACUGAGGCACGAAAGCGUGGGGAUCGAACA